UCGGAUUAGAURCCCCAGUAGUCAGAUACCCGAGUAGUCAGUCCUACGGGWGGCWGCAGUAGGGAAUCUUCCGCAAUGGACGAAAGUCUGACGGAGCAACGCCNGCGNUGAGUGAUGAAGGCUUUCGGGUCGUAAAACUCUGUUGUUAGGGAAGAACAAGUACAAGAGUAACUGCUUGUACCUUGACGGUACCUAACCAGAAAGCCACGGCUAACUACGUGCCAGCAGCCGCGGUAAUACGUAGGUGGCAAGCGUUAUCCGGAAUUAUUGGGCGUAAAGCGCGCGCAGGCGGUUUCUUAAGUCUGAUGUGAAAGCCCACGGCUCAACCGUGGAGGGUCAUUGGAAACUGGGGAACUUGAGUGCAGAAGAGAAAAGCGGAAUUCCACGUGUAGCGGUGAAAUGCGUAGAGAUGUGGAGGAACACCAGUGGCGAAGGCGGCUUUUUGGUCUGUAACUGACGCUGAGGCGCGAAAGCGUGGGGAGCAAACASGAUUASAUACCCYAGUAGUCAGAUACCCGASU
rnacentral:rRNA from 1 species